rnacentral:rRNA from 1 species
UAGGGAAUCUUCCACAAUGGGCGCAAGCCUGAUGGAGCAACACCGCGUGAGUGAAGAAGGGUUUCGGCUCGUAAAGCUCUGUUGUUAAAGAAGAACACGUAUGAGAGUAACUGUUCAUACGUUGACGGUAUUUAACCAGACAGUCACGGCUAACUACGUGCCAG